AUAUCCUGUAAAAAAAAAACUAAUUAAAAAUAUCAUAUUUAUUUAUGAUUUGCCCCAAUAAAUUUGUUAAUAGGACAUCUGGUUCCAUCAAAGAAAAAUUUAAUACAUCAAUUAAGGAUACAAAGAACAGGAUGAAUUCUAUUACAGUUAUAUAAGUUAUAUGACACACUAAUAAUUUGACUCUAUGAUGAAAGAGAAUGCAACUAAAGAUUAUUCGUUGAACAUACCUUCAGCUCUAGCUGGUAGAUGCCUACUCAACUGUUUUCUGUGAUCUUCAGUCAUUAUUUCGGUUACUCCAUGUAAAUCUGGUAUGUACGCUUCAAAAUCCAACGAGUUGACACUGUUGGCGUAGAACGCACGUCGUAGUUCAUCGCUCAUAGACAGUAC